CAGCAGCCGCGGGAAUACGAGGGGGGCAAGCGUUGUUCGGAAUUAUUGGGCGUAAAGGGUGCGUAGGCGGCUUGACAAGUCUUGUGUGAAAUCUAUGGGCUCAACCCAUAGUCUGCACGGGAAACUGUCGGGCUUGAGAAUGGGAGAGGUGAGUGGAAUUUCCGGUGUAGCGGUGAGAUGCGUUGAGAUCGGAAAGAACACCAACGGCGAAAGCACUCCGCUGGGCCGACACUGACACUGAGAGACGAAAGCUAGGGGAGCAAAUGGGAUUAGAUACCCGAGUAGUCCCUGUCUCUUAUAC
rnacentral:rRNA from 1 species